rnacentral:rRNA from 1 species
UAGGGAAUCUUCCGCAAUGGACGAAAGUCUGACGGAGCAACGCCGCGUGAGUGAUGAAGGUUUUCGGAUCGUAAAACUCUGUUGUUAGGGAAGAACAAGUACAAGAGUAACUGCUUGUACCUUGACGGUACCUAACCAGAAAGCCACGGCUAACUACGUGCCAGCAGCCGCGGUAAUACGUAGGUGGCAAGCGUUGUCCGGAAUUAUUGGGCGUAAAGCGCGCACAGGCGGUCCUUUAAGUCUGAUGUGAAAGCCCACGGCUCAACCGUGGAGGGUCAUUGGAAACUGGGGGACUUGAGUGCAGAAGAGAAGAGUGGAAUUCCACGUGUAGCGGUGAAAUGCGUAGAGAUGUGGAGGAACACCAGUGGCGAAGGCGACUCUUUGGUCUGUAACUGACGCUGANGCGCGAAAGCGUGGGGAGCAAACAGGAUUAGAUACCCUGGUAGUCCACGCCGUAAACGAUGAGUGCUAAGUGUUAGAGGGUUUCCGCCCUUUAGUGCUGCAGCAAACGCAUUAAGCACUCCGCCUGGGGAGUACGGCCGCAAGGCUG